AACUUUCAAGUACACACUAGUGUUCCAAAGCUCUUUCUAAAGUUCAAACUAACAGUUUUAACACACGUUCUUGUGUGUGGUAUUUAGCCUAAGAGUUGCCAUAUAAACUAUAAAGAGGAAAAGGAGACAAAAUUCAUAAACCGAAUCACCGAACAUUUAUUUGCCGUUUAGGCUACGUUCUGGCAAAUUUUAAGAUUUAUGUACCCCGCCUAGAGGGCAUGUCGUCACGUUUCACUUCAAUUCCAGAAAUGUAGCCAUACAUGAGACAUUGCCCAUUCAAAGGGUUUGUAGGGCUCUGGAUAAUUUCUAUUAUAACUCUGAUUGGAAAAAGUCACAUACACCUAGGAUGCUUCAAAGGCUGAAAUUUGAAUCCAUACGCAAGAGGGCUGCAAUCAAUCCAUCCAUCCAUCCAUCAUCUAUCCAUCCAUCCAUCCAUCCAUCCAUCCAUC